AACGAACGCUGGCGGCAGGCCUAACACAUGCAAGUCGAACGCCCAGCAAUGGGAGUGGCGCACGGGUGAGUAACGCGUGGGAAUGUACCCUUUAGUACGGAAUAGCCUCGGGAAACUGGGAUUAAUACCGUAUACGCCCUUCGGGGGAAAGAUUUAUCGCUAAAGGAUCAGCCCGCGUGAGAUUAGAUAGUUGGUGGGGUAAUGGCCUACCAAGUCUACGAUCUCUAGCUGGUCUGAGAGGACGACCAGCCACACUGGAACUGAGACACGGUCCAGACCCCUACGGGAGGAAGCGGGGGGAAAUUUGGGAAAAGGGGAGAAAGCCUGACCCAGCCAUGCCGGGUGAGUGAUGAAGGCUUUAGGGUUGUAAAGCUCUUUCGGGGGUGACGAUAAUGACGGUACCCACAAAAGAAGCCCCGGCUAACUUCGUGCCAGCGGCCGCCCGCAG
rnacentral:rRNA from 1 species